AUUGAACGCUGGCGGCAGGCCUAACACAUGCAAGUCGAGCGCGCGGCGGACGGGUGAGUCAUGCCUGGGAAUUGCCCAGUCGAGGGGGAUAACAGUUGGAAACGACUGCUAAUACCGCAUACGAUUGGAUUGCCCAGGUGGGAUUAGCUAGUUGGUGAGGUAAUGGCAGACCAAGGCGACGAUCCCUAGCUGGUCUGAGAGGAUGAUAAGCAAAACGUGAACUGAGAAACGGUCAAGACUCCUAAGUGAGGCAGAAGUGGGGAAGAGUGCACAAGGGGGGAAACACUGAUGGAGCCAUUACGCGUGUGUGAAGAAGGCCGGCGGGUUGUAAAGCACUUUCAGCGAGGAGGCGUUACUCGCAGAAGAAGCACCGGCGAACUCCGUGCCAGCCGCCGCGGUAAUAC
rnacentral:rRNA from 1 species